rnacentral:lncRNA from 1 species
AGAAAGAUGAAAAAACCAAUUCAAAGUUGAAAUAAGAUUAUUAAGUCAGAUACAAAACUGGUUAAUGGACCUAUCUUCUCUCUGGGAAAGAAAUCAUUUGCUUAUUAGUUUUCUGUAAGUUAACAUAGAACUCUAUAAAGCAGUAAAAUGUCUGUACCCUAAUUCAUAGUAAAUCAAGGACUUCCCUGGUCAUCCAGCGGUUAAGAAUCUGCCUUGUACUGAAGGGUUGAGAGUUCAAUCCCUGGUCGGCAAACUAAGAGCUCACAUGCUACAGAGCAACAAAGCCCAAACGCCGCAAGGAAAGAUCCAUCAUGAUGCAAUGAGGAUCCCUCAUCCCACAGCUAAGACCAACAUGGCCAAGUUAAUAAAUAUUUUAAAAAACCAGUAAAUCAAACUAAGUUAUAUUCUCUCAGAAAGUCAGUUAACCUUUUAGGCAGGCUUGUUACAACAAUGCUCUGUGCUAGCCUGCUCAGUCACUAAGUCAUUUUGUGACCCAUGUAGCCCGCCAGGCUCCUCUGUCUGCAGGAUUUUCCAGACAAGAAUACUGGAGUGGGUUGCCAUUUUUUUUACUCAUUUAAUAAAUAUUUAUUUACUAAAUAUCUCCUUUGUGUCAGACAUUUCAAGAAUCUUGUCAUAUACUCCGAAUAAUACUGAUGAAGUACUAGCCUUCCUGCAGCUUAUGUUCUCAAAGAAAGAGGUAGAGAAUGAACUUGUAACUUCAGCAUAGUUAUGAACAGUGCCCCUGUCACUCUCAGUGUUCCACUGGAGGUGAUACCUUAUAAGAUCCCUCUUUUCAUACUGUUGAAAUAAUACACAGGGUAAAGAAAAAGAGAGUAUGGGGGAGGGUAGGCUGUGACUAUUAAUAAAGUCAGUGAAGCUUUAAUGAGAAAUGAUGAAGCAAAGCCUGUAGACAGCACAGGGAAGAGUGGUCCAGGCAAGCGCAGCAGCAAAUGCAGACUCCGAUGCAGGGAGGCCCCAGUAUUUUCUAAUGUUAAUAUUAUUUUCUUGAAGGAGGCAGGAAAGGCUUUAAGCAGGGGAGUGACGUGGUCUCAUCUGUGUUUUAGAAAGAUUACUCUGGGGGAAGUUAAGGAGGAUGGAUGACAGGAGAGAAUAUCAGAGGCAAGUAGUCAAGUCACAGGCUGUAACAGUAAAUAGGAAGUAGGAAAGGCCUGCCCCAUACAAAACAGUGACAGUGAGGAUGGAGGGAAUUUGGAUAUCUGAAAAGUAGAAGAGACAAGCUCUGACGUCCUUUAGAAUGUGGGAGAUGCAGGUGUGGGAACAGCCCUAGAUAGAGCUCUUGGAUUAGGCCCUCAAGGUUAGUUUUCUUCCUGAAGUGCUCUCCCUCCACUCCCCAGUAAGAAAAAGGCCAUCGCAAUACAUUUCCUUUUAAAGUUUUAUUAAAGUUUAAUGGAACAAUUAAUAUUUUUUCUUUUUUUGUUGUUAAUCCCAGUACAAAAAUA